UACGAAGGGAGCUAGCGUUACUCGGAAUUAUUGGGCGUAAAGCGUGCGCAGGCGGCUUAGUAAGUUGGAAGUGAAAGCCUUGAGCUUAACUCAAGAAUUGCUUUCAAAACUGCUAAGCUAGAGUUCCAGAGGGGAUGGUAGAAUUUCUAGUGUAGAGGUGAAAUUCGUAGAUAUUAGAAGGAAUACCAAAGGCGAAGGCAGCCAUCUGGCUGGAUACUGACGCUGUUGCACGGAAGCGUGGGGAGCAAACAGG
rnacentral:rRNA from 1 species